rnacentral:lncRNA from 1 species
GGAAUGGCCAAAUUCUCAGAUCAUCAUCUGUCACCUUGGAUAGUGCAGGCAAUGGGAAGUGCAACUGGGUGAAUCGGGAGCGAGCCUCGACUUCGGAUUUACACCCAAAGAAGCCGAGCAGGAGGGACUCCUCUCAGAUCCACCAAACCUCUGAUUUUCGCGACCCCGGCCAAGGUAUCAUUUACCGGAUUCAGGAUCAUUUUCAAGGCUUUGAUGGGGCAUUACAUCAUGCUCCCAUUUAUCCUCAAGCCAAGACUUUGAUCCUUUAGGCUCUCCGCGUGCUGAGGAAGGGAAAUGCCCCCUCGUACACGGAGGCAGCGUUUCACGCCCGUUAUUAGUGCGGCAGGAAGAAAAAGAAAAGAAAAAUGUCCAGAGGCCAAAUCCGUAAAAGCCAGGUUAUCUCUGGGAAAGAGGAGGGGGAGCUGCUAAAAGCACCGUUCGCUCUCUGGGGUGUUGGCAGCGACAAAGCAGGGCGGAGGAGAGAGAUGUGUUCUCGAUAAAGUGCCUUAAGUAACACUUUCCUUCGGCGUUUGUCCUCUCAUCGAACUCAGCAGAGCUCCCGGAGUCACUUCGCUCCCACCUAAAAGUGCACUCACACUUUCGGAAAGGCCGCCGGUGGAGCUGCGGCAGAGCACGAGCUGCGCGAGGGGCACACGAGGCUCCGGUGCGAAGGGACUCCGGGCGCUGCUGGCCCUGCAGCAGGUGGAUGAGUGACAGCCUUUGUUUAAUGCCACCUACAGCAGGAGGAGCUGCGGCAUGGCUGAGAGCCCCCGGGAGAGGCACCUGGGAAGGGGACACAAUAACAAUGCCCUUAGGCGGGGGUGGGGGGGGGGGGGGGGAGGUAGAAGUGUGUUUACUAGGCUUGCUUUCGCCUAGCAGCGCGAACCUUCCGAAGAGGGUUCCCCCGAGGAUCCCCGAGCUGAGCAUCGCCUCUCCGCCCCCUCCGCCCACCGGCAGCGGCCCCGGGGCUGCCCCGCUCGGGGAGCGCAGGGGAAGGGCUGGGACGCAGGGAGCGACCCCGCCGCCCCGGCAUUUGCGGCGCAGCGAUGCGGGGGAGACAACAACGAGACCUUAGGACAGUCUCGCUGCUCUGCCCGCGGUUUGGCCGGGGGCGUUGCUCAGGUAUCCCCAACUCGCAGCGGUUUCCCUGCGGAAUAGGCAGGCAAGCUCUCCAAAUACCUCCUGGCGCCAGAAGAAAGUUCUCAUGUAAUAGAUACCCGGCGGUGUGAGAACACGGAUUCUGCUCACUUUGUCAAUCAGCCGCGGGUGGGGAGAGCCGGGGAGGGGGAGAUGAGAUUUCUUUUAAUUAACGAAGAGAAAGACGGAGUUUUCCCUAAUUCUAUUAUUAGCUGUAUAAUUUUUAAUGAUGCCCGGAGUUGUGCCGUUGGCCUGAAAGGACGGGAAUUAACGGGGCAGCUGAAAGCGCGGUUUAUUUCUCCUCUCGGAGCAAAUUAGCUGCAAUAACAAGCAAACAUCAGCAAGAGGAAGCGCUCUGUUACUCUCCUCCUUGUGUUUCACCCUGAGAGGGAAGCCCACCAGAGCCAGACGGAAGAGAUGGGGAGAGAUAACGGCACUGCAGCCUCUCCUUCUGCUGUGGGGCGCUCCAUCACGAUCCCUCACUUCGGCCGGGCGGAGGCGGAGGGGGUGGGGGCGGCUCCUCCGGGACCCGCCGGGGGGUCACUGCUCGCUCUCGUUGGGGCACAUGGCCGCUGGGACGGUGGUGAAGACAGCACGAAGUGACAGCUCGGAGCUGCUGGACGGAAAGGAAAGUCAUGGAAUCGUAGAAUCGUUUGAGUUGGGAUGGACUAUUAAAGGUCUCCUGGUCCGAUUCUCCUGCAAUGAGCAUCCGCCCAGGCUUUCAAUCGAUAACGUUGCAAGCGACCGCUUCUCCCACUAUUGGGUUAAUACCGGAUCUGAAACGUAUAAAUAAUAGACGAGACGGUGACUUUUCUGAUGUAAUAUACACAGUUCUUCCAGCACAUGAUCUUGACAUGCAUAGAUACGUCUGCAUUUAAAAAGGAAGAACUUAAACGCUUAGGUGAAGUAUUCAGCUGCAAGGUUUUAACACCAAUUUUCCCACUUUCCGAAUGCUUGUUUCCAUAUCCUACAUGCUAUUAAACCAGAAAUUUCUGUUCUUUUCACAGUGCUUCUAUAAAGUACUCCCACAUCUGAAAACACUUCAUUACUGUGGUAGUGCUUUAAAUUUUAAGUAGCUAAAAUGUUCCAGAGUCUCACAGGCUGCUUCCUGUAACCACCUUAAAAUAUGCUAUUUGCAGAUACUUCUUGAUGGCUGAAGCUGAACUUUUUCAAGUCGUUUUGUGGCUUGCUUACAUUUUCAUUUUGCGAUUGUGGCCAUAUUAAUGUCCAUGGCAUUUUGGUUUAUUGCUUAGGACAACGAAUAAGACCUUUAAAGGAGGACGGAUAGAUGGAGCCGUACAUUACGAACAGCAAUGAAAUAAGGUUUCAUAGACACAGCUGUCAAAAUCAGAACUCAGAUAGGGAACCCUUAGAGAGAGCUUCUGUCUUUCAUUUCUAUCACCAGGAGCAAAUGUUAUUUUUAUUAGCUUUUGUAUAAAGACAAUCGGACUUGUAGGAGACGGUCCCAUAUGAUAUAAUCCUGCAGAACAUCUCCACUAGCAGAAUAUUGGCUCUUAAACCAAUGGCACUGAGAAAUGGAGGUUUUUCUCUACUCUCUUCAGACCCUUACAUUGCUUAUCUUUCAUUUUUCAUAGCUGGCACAGAUGAGGUCAGGCUUUUGCCCAUUAUCUUUCCUUAUUUUUUACCAUGCACAUUUAAUUUGAAUGAUGCUAAUACUUAAUUAUCAAGAGUAAAUCAGAAUUAUAAACGAUGCUUUUGUUUCUCCUUUUCACAGUAGAUUUCUUUGGCUCAGCAGUUGGAAAACAAAAUGCAUCUGGAUUUAUCUGGAAUCUGCUAAAGAAAACUGCUAUUCCAUUGAUUCUGAGGUUCUUGACGAGUUGCUACAAAAGGAAACUAUACACAUCAGCAGCAACUUUUUUUUUCUUCUUUUUACAAUUGUUACUUAAAAUUUAGCACAGCUGUUAACCUAAUGAUGCCAAAUUGGUGGUAUACCUUGUAUAUCAAACAUACACAUCUUAAAAGAAAAACGACAACCAUUCUGCGCAAGGUCAUCUGCUAGCACGGAAAGUCAGAUAUCCAUCAAUUUUAGCUGAGCUGACACAUCAGUGUAAGGUGAAAAGCUGAUUCCUGAUGUCUAGGUCUUUUCCCGAGGACUCCAAUUUUAAAUAGGAAACAUUCCUGCCAAAAUAAGUAGUGUUACAUUUGGUCUAAAUCUGGGGAAAAAAGAGUGCUUGACUAAGGAUCUAUUGAUGCAACUGAAGUAAUGGAUUCUACAGUCCCUCUGAGACUGAAACAACCACAGUCCUCUCUCAAGGAUGUUUUUCAAAGUGAAAACUGGCUUUAUGCACAUAUAUAUUUAAGUAUUUACAAGUUUGCUCACAGAUAUACUGAAUGUAACUUGGAUGGUUUUCGAUAUAGAAAGCAAUCUGUAUUAAACAACACACCUUUGGAAGCAAGCACAAACAGAUAUGUCCUACUGGUUAAUAAGCUUCUCAUACUUAAUUUUAUCAUUCUUUCAUUGGGGAAUAUAAGAUAAAGUUUACUUCAGGAAGCACCAAGGGCCUUACCAAAAGUAAUGUUAAGAUGAAAUUGGAUUUCCAGGAUAGCUGAUAAAUCAUUCCUUCACAUUCUAAUUACUGUAUUCCUACUGUCCUACCAUUGACCAUUUCUGAGAAAGGAUAUUCAGGAGCCACUAUAAUGGCUUUCUGGCCUUCUUAUCCAUUGUUGGGUGCACUUGCAGUAGGAUAUUCCACAGCACGCUGUGAGAAUUAAUUAUGGAUUUCUUCACCUUAAUUUCUUUAAAAAGUUUGAGUGCAGUCAGUUGUUCCAUUCUAAUUGCUCAUAUUUGGUAGUUACAAAAAAGCAUGUUUACAGUUGAUUUGCCUCGACUACUGUUGCUUUUUAGUAUUACUUGCAAUUCUCUUCUUACCUCUUUUCCAGUUUGUGAUUGCACCAUGAGGGAAUUCAUUCAGCAUCGCUCUGCCUGUGAGAUGUCAGGAUCCCACGAUACCAAAAUGGAAUGGGUGCCAAAACCCAUUUGCCCUCAUGAAUCAGGAUCAUAGUCUAUGUUACAAGGUCAAAAGGAGAGCAUCUUACACACUACAAGUCCUAGUGCUCGCAGAGCAGGGUGACACAGGGAGGGUAAGGACAAUGUGACUGACAACAAGGCAGAAGACAAUGCAACCCUCUCAUCUGGGAAUAAUGCCCCCAGAAAAGUGCUGUGAUUGUUAUGGAAAUUUUUGAUGUUUUUUGGCCUCUUUACAAGAAGGCGGAUUGCGUAUAUACACACAAAACAAUAAAGCAAUCAGCAAAAAUGAAACUGAUAGGUUGCAUAGGAGGAUGUGUGGCUGAUAUAUCUAUUAUAGAGCAUGAUAUUCCACUUAUUGUACAUUUAUUGUCCCAAAUUUCCAAGUAAAACCAGAAACAGAACACUCUUCUUACAAUUAAAUUAGAUAAGCCUUGAUAGAAGUCUCAUGCACAAGAGCAAUUAUCAGUUUUAUGAGUUUAUCUUUGCAUUCAUCCUGGUCUCAGAGACUCCUGAACACACAUACCUUUCAGCAGACAGACAAUCAUAAUAUGAUCCGAUUCAGACUACAAGGUUAUCUGAAACUGAUUCAUUUCCUGUUCCAGGCUAAUACCAACAGAGGGACAGCAAAUCGUUUGCUCUGUACCAGCCCAAGCUUUUAACACUCUCAGGGAUCUGAGGUUUCACACACACUCACCAUUAAGUCUAUUAACCUAAUCAGCAGCUUUAACUGCAUCUGCAGAUAAAGCAAAGAAAUUUAUAAAUUAAUUAAUGUUGGAAAAUAAAUUUAUUCAUCAAUAUAAGAUUCUUGAUUAAAUUCGGCAAUAAAGUGUUCCUAAUAAAAUUAAUCAAAUCCUACAUUUAUUUUGAACAAACUCUAAAUAGAAGGCAGGAAUGAGAUUUGUUAGGCAUUUGCCCUGUAUUUCUUAAAGUUAUGAAAUGCCACCCAAACUACCAACUUGAAGACAGCCUCUGGCUAUUCUGCUUUCACUAAGUUCUUUUAUUAAGGUCUCUAAAAUUAAAUGAUUAAUUUAGUUUGGACCUGUGAUAAACACUUUAAUCUCCAUAGUGUUGGCUGAAUAAGGAAAGGCAAACUGGUGAGCUGCUAUAAAACAGAAAGACUUAGAAUAACAAAGUGCUUAAAAUAUGGAAAUUAUCUAACCUUGAAGCAGGGAAAGCCAUAUUUCUUGUUGUAGCCAUUUUCAAAGUGCCUUCUCUAUCAAGUUUACUCAGUUUAGAAGCAAGAUGCUCAUUUUUCCUGGAGAAAUGCCACAGUUGCUUAAUGAGCAGGAGUCAAAGACUAUUACACAAUGUUACUUACAAAAGUAAAGACAAAAUGCUUCUGGCUUUUUGUGAAUGUUCCUAUGUUAAUGUGCAUGUUAUGUCUGUCAGCUUAUAGAAGGCUCUGAAAAGAGAACUGCCUAAAAUGUAAUGUAGUGCUUUGGCUGGAUCUGUCCUAUCUUAAUGCUGUGCAUUCUGCUUUCAUGAGCACUUGAUAUACAGACACAAUGUAUAGAAAGGGCUGCAUGAUUUGCCUGCUAUUUAUAAAAAUGAAAGAAUAAGGUGAAAGAUGAGUAACUCCAGCUCUGUAGGGAAUCGGUAAGGCAUGGAUAUAACAGAUACUUUAUUGCUCUGCUUGGUGGAAUGCUCACUGGGUUCAGUGAGUUCAUCAGAUUUCAAGUUUUGUAGUAGAAUGUAGGUAAUAAAAAAUCUACAGGUGCAUACAAUCAGUCUUUCAAGCACUGAAAACUUCUGUGGGUGAAAAAAGAGGCUUUUUAAAAACCUGUAACAUCACAGUCUGGUAAAAAAAAUCUGGUUCUUACUUUCCAGCCAAGCAGGAAGGAGCAAAUAGAACAACUAAUAGACCUUUGAGGAUAUAACAGUUAUAUUUAAGAGCAUCGUUAUGUAUCACACUGUGGAAAGACAAGCCAAAUGUGAGAUCAAAAUACUCACCUUUCUUAGCUAAAAUACCACGCAAGGAGGGAACAGGAAGGACAUAGGAAUGACUUUGCACACAGUUUCACAAAGAAAAGUUUCACAGUCUUAUCUCUGAGGCAUUCACCUAAAUAGACAGCUUAAAGUGCAAACACUGCAGAGAUUUAUCAUAGAAUCAUAGAAUCACCAGGGUUAGAAAAGACCUCUAAGAUCAUUGAGUCCAACCGUCCACCUAUCACCAAUGUUUCCCACUAAACCGUGUCCCUCUAUACAACAUCUAAAUGUUUCGUGAACACCUCCAGGUAAGUGGAGUGUCAAGAGAUUAUUAUCAGUGUUCGACAGUCUUACAGUAUUGUAAAAUGGAAAUAAUGGCAGAAAGGGAAGAAUUUGGAUGGCUUAUCUAUUUGUUCGGAACAAUUGAUGGCCAACAUUGAUGUUGGUCAACUCCUGCAUCCUCAGAAGUAGAAAUUAUAACUUCUGUCGCCUUUCAGUGAAACAGCAGAGUUACUAUUAUGAAAGCACUUGAAAGAUUUACUAAGCUAAGAUUCAGCUGGUUCUAAACUAGGAUGUAAGCGAAGAUAGAUGAUGAUCACAAUAACCAGUUCUUAAAAGCACCUGCAAUUGGAAGGAGUCACUUGUGAAAAUGGGUAAGUUUUCCAGGGAAUAAAUACAUAUUAAAAUAAAACUAUAUAAAGGGACAUUUAUGGAGUGCUUCUAUGAAGAAAGGCUGAGGGAGCUGGGCAUGUUCAGCCUGGGUGGUGAGGCCGUGGCACAGGCUGUCUGGAGAACCUGUGAGUGCCCCAUUUCUAGAAGUGCUCAGGUCCAGGUUGGAUGGGGCCCUGGGCAGCCUGAGCUGGUGGGUGGCAGCCCUGCUGAUGGCAGUGAGAUUGGAACUGGAGAAUUGUUAAGGUCCCUUCCAACCCAAGCCAUUCUACGAUUCUGUGAUUAUCUUCAAGAAUAUGGAAAUAGCAAUUUACUCUUUUAUUUUAUGAUUCAUUUAAGAAAGUAAUUUGUACUUGACGUUUGUUAUAGCAAACCAAUUAGAAGUGAGCAGAAUAGGGUCAUGUUCAAGAUCCAUAAGGCUAAUCCUUUACAUGACCUUAUGUAAAUCAGUGGGCUGAUGAUGGCAAGAUAAUCCAAGGGGGCAUGCUCUGCCACUUUUUACCUCAAGGAUAACACUUGUAUAAGAUACGUAGCUCAUGCCUCUGUAUUUAAUUAUGUAGCAUUUGCCAUGUAGAUAAAUUAGCAGAAAUCUUGUGGAGGGUGCAGUACAUCUCUCCUAAUUUCAGCCAUCUAAAUUUCAGUAUUACAAUUUAAUUACUUAGCAGUGAGUGAGAAGAGUUACAGCUUAUAGGUCAUAACAUCACCUGUUAAAUUUAUCACUUGAAAUGUCACAGUGUAGGAGGCAUUCUUCAGGCAGCAUACUGAAAUUGAGUGAAUGAAUCAAAAGUGAUUUUUUUUUCCCAUUGAGUUCUAUAGGUCUAUAAGAUAACAGAGCUUGGGGACAUACAGACAGAAGAAGAAUGAGACACAAACAGGAAAUCAAAUAUGGUUGGAAAUAUCAUUAUUUUUAAGAGAACUUUGUCUUUCAACAGAGGCAAAAGAGCAGUGAGAGUUUAGACAUUGUACCACGUAUUUGAAUUUAAUAACAUAAACCUUUUUGAAAUGUCUUUUGUGUCUUUAGAACUUAUGAAGAUCAUGAAUAUCAGAAGUGGAGUAGAACAUGCUCUAGAAUAAAUAAGUGAGUGAUAUUAAUAAUAAUAAAGAUAAGAAGAAAACAAACAAAACAUAAAAAUACCUUUGACGAUUAUGCUUCCUCAGGUUCCUCUCCUGUUCCCUGCUAUGCUGAAAAAUAUUGUUUGAGUAAAACAGUAUUGCCUGCCCUUUCCAGGCAGCCACAGUACUUAUCUUCAUUGACAAUAUCUUGUUAAAGAUAAAUUCAGGAAGGAAAAAUUAUUCAGGGAUGAGAUAAUAUAUUUUUAUCCUCAACUCUCCUGCUUUUUAGGCACAUCAAACAUGUAUUUAUGAAGAAGUAAUAAUGACAUUGGGUCCUAAGGUUCAUUUAAUCUAGUCCUGUCCUAGUGAUAAAAAGCAUCUAGAAGAGUGUAAAUAGGGAAAGGGAAAAAAAAAAAAAAAAGAAAGAGUAUGGUGAUACUCCUCAGAAAACUCUCUCAACACCCAAUAAUUUGAGCUUCAGAAAUUUUCUGAGCCAGAUAAUUUUUCUUCAAAUGUAAAGGAUUAUAAUAGAUUUUUCUUCCAUGUAUUGACUUUGGAAUUAAUGUACACUUUUAACGUCCCAGUAUUCUGCAGCAAAGCCUAAUUAAAUAUAUAGGAAUGCUAGUCACUUCCAUUAAUUUAGGAGCAGAGUAAGGGUGGAAUAAGAAGCUUAUAGGAGGCUCAGGCUACUGCAGAACACACUAAAGCAUAUGUGCUGUGAGGACGGAAUGCUCUGUCUGCAAUGGAUAGUGAUGGUAGUAAAUCCUGUGUACGACAGAUUCCACAAAUUUGCAAAAAAAAAAAUGUCGUGUGGGAUGGACACAGUGGAUCUGUCAUGUCCAGCACUGGACAGAUGUACUGACAGCUGAUUGUUCAAUCCUUGUUAAAACUUUGAUCUCAGACAGAUAUGGGCUAUAACCCUUUAGCAGUAGCACCAAACUUUGUUGCAUACAUUUUAUGUCAACUGAGAAGCAAGACAGAUCAGUGCUGUGUGCCUGGCUUAGCGCUAUAACUACCUUCACCUCUGGAUUUCCCUAUCAUUUCAGUGCAAAUUACAAUGCAGUGCAAGCAAAUUAUAGCAAGUCACAUUGCAAUCAGAGACAGUGACCCAGAACAGAUUUUCAUGUUCACUCUCGGUGUCAAUAGUUUUCCUGUAGUGGCAUUACCAUAGGAAAUUACUCCAUAUGCUGUUUCAAAAAUUGUAAUUUCUCUAGAUAAUCUUUAUAUCUGUGAAAAUACAUGGAAAGACCAUAUGCUUUAAUUAGCCUUAUCCUUUUUUUCCAUUUAAGCUGGUUUUAACCAAGAAGUUUCUGUAUGAAUCAAGGAUUCUGCCCUCCAUCACUGAAAUGACUACUCAUCUGCCUUUGCAGUUGAAAACAGGACUGGAGUCUUCUGUGAAUGAAUUCAUUUUAAUUUAAUAAGCACUCCUUUACUCUUUUUGUUAUCAUUUACUGAACCCUUGUUUCUAGGGAAUAGAUUUCAAGAAUAUGGUGUAUCAGCUUUCUGCUCUUGAAGAUGCCCGUAUUUGAAAUUUCUCCACCAAGACUUCAGUGUCAUCAAAUGAACACUGAAAUAUUUUGUUGUUGUUG